AUGGGUAGUGGUGGAAGGUUGGUGUUGGCUUCCUUCGUGACGUUGGCGCUCGCCAUCUUGCUCCCAUCAGCCGAGGCGGCCUCCCUCCACGGUGGCGGGCCGUUCGAUUCCAUCUUCACCUUUGGCGACUCCUUCACGGACACAGGCAACAACCCCAUCGUCUUCGGCUGGUACAACAUCUUUGACGUCGUGAUGCGCCCUCCCUAUGGCAUGACCUCCUUCGGUGGCCUCCCCACUGGCCGCAACUGCAACGGCCGCCUCAUCAUUGACUUCAUCGCUCAAGGCCUAGGCUUGCCUCUCGUGCCACCAUACCUGUCGCACAAGGGGAGCUUCCAGCAGGGCGCCAACUUUGCCGUUGGUGGCGCCACCGCUCUCAACUCCAGCUUCUUCCACAUCGGUGACCCUCCCGGCGCCAGCCUGUUCCCCCUCAACACCAGCCUCGAAGUGCAGCUUGGCUGGUUCGAGGAGCUCAAGCCUUCCUUGUGCCAAACGGACCAAGAGUGCAAGGAUUUCUUUGGCAGGUCGCUGUUCUUCGUGGGUGAGUUUGGGAUCAACGACUACCACUACUCCUUCGGGAAGAAGAGCAUGCAAGAAAUCAGAGCAUUCGUGCCAGAUCUCAUCCAGACCAUCUCCAUGGGUGCCGAGAGAGUGAUUGAGCAUGGGGCGAAAACUCUGGUCGUCCCUGGGAUGAUCCCAUCCGGAUGCGCGCCGCCGAUCCUGGUCACCUUCGAGGAUGCCGAUGCUUCGGAAUACGAUGCCACCACCGGCUGUCUCAAGGAACCCAACGAGAUCGUGAAGCUCCACAACUCUAUGCUGCGAGACGCCAUCCAGAAGCUGCGUGCGGAGCACCCCGAUGUGACCAUCAUCCACACCGACCUGUUCAACCACGUUAUGGAGAUGGUCAAGUCGCCUGAAAAAUUCGGGAUUAAAAAAGAUGAUGUUCUUAGAGUUUGCUGUGGAGGAUGUGGGAGGUACCACUACAACCUCUCGGUCGCUUGUGGCGAUGAAGCCGCGACAACGUGCGAGGAUCCGUCCACUCAUCUAUUCUGGGGCGGUGUCCACCUGACGGAGGCAGCUUACCACUACAUUGCUGAAGAUUGGCUCAACGCCAUAGUAAGCAGCCUGCCUACAACAGCUAGCUCUUAA
rnacentral:rRNA from 1 species